GACAGAGGAGCCAAGCGUUGUCCGGAUUGACUGGGCGUAAAGCGCACGCAGGCGGUCGCGCGCGUGGGGUGUGAAACCUGGCGGCUUAACUGCCAGACGCCAUCCCAUACGGCGUGACUCGAGCCAUGCAGAGGUCCAUGGAAUUGCCGGUGUAGUGGUGAAAUGCGUAGAGAUCGGCAGGAACACCCAGGGGGAAACCAGUGGACUGGGCAUGUGCUGACGCUCAGGUGCGAAAGCGUGGGGAGCGAACCGG
rnacentral:rRNA from 1 species